GGGUCUGCCGUGCUGGCUCCGCCCCUUUGUGACAUCAAAAUGGCAGAUUUUUAGCCAAUCCAAUGCUUUCCCAUAGGGGCGUAGCCAAAUGCCAUUUUGGCUAAUCAGGACCUCUUCAUAGAAAUGCAUUGAAUCAUGCAUGGAGACGCUGAACGGAAGGGCUGCUUACUGUGCAGCCCUGAGCCAGGAAGCUCCUCCAGUGGCCACUUGGACGUGUCCCUAGGGACAAUGUAAACACUGUCUUUUCUCUGAAAAGGCAGUGUUUCACAUGAAAAUGCCUGAAUGGAGAUAUUAUACUCACCAGAACAACUACAAUAAGCUGUAGUUAUUCUGUUGACUAUAGUGUCCCUUUAAGCUAUAGACUAGGGAACUAUUGGUUUGGGAAUACAGGCUUGUAGUAGUGCCAGUGUUCCUUUAAAUUGAAUAAAGUCGGAGUUUGCAAAGAAUACUGGACAAUUUCCCCCAAAAGUGGGGUCACUCAGUCCUUUUUGUUACACUAAAUAUGACAUUGGGCAAUGUAUUAGUGUCCCUGUAUGUAAAAACCAACAUUUGCUCCAUCAUUUAAAAGACUAGCCAACAGAGG